rnacentral:rRNA from 1 species
AGCGUAGGCGGUUUUGCAAGUCAGAAGUGAAAGGCUACGGCUCAACCGUGGUAAGCUUUUGAAACUGCAAGACUAGAGUGCAGGAGAGGCAAGUGGAAUUCCUAGUGUAGAGGUGAAAUUCGUAGAUAUUAGGAGGAACACCAGUGGCGAAGGCGACUUGCUGGACUGUAACUGACGCUGAGGCUCGAAAGCGGUGGGGAGCGAACA